rnacentral:rRNA from 1 species
AUUGAACGCUGGCGGCAGGCCUAACACAUGCAAGUCGAGCGAGCGGCGGACGGAUGAGUACUGUCUGGGAAACUGCCUGAUAGAGGGUGAUAACUACUGGAAACGGUAGCUAAUACCGCAUACCAUCAAAUUUACCCAGAGGUGAUUAGCUCGUAGGUGGGGUAAUGGCUCACCUAGGCGACGAUCCCUAGCUGGUCGGAGAGGAUGACCAGCCACACUGGAACUGAGACACGGUCCAGACGCCUACGGGAUGCAGCAGUGGGGAAUAUUGCACAAUGGGCGCAAGCCUGAUGCAGCCAUGCCGCGUGUAUGAAGAAGGCUUUCGGGUUGUAAAGUACUGUCAUCGGGGAGGCGUUACCCGCAGAAGAAGCACCGGCUAACUCCGUGCCAGCAGCCGCGGUAAUAC